rnacentral:rRNA from 1 species
CCUACGGGUGGCAGCAGUGAGGAAUAUUGGUCAAUGGGCGGAAGCCUGUACCAGCCAAGUAGCGUGCAGGAUGACGGCCCUACGGGUUGUAAACUGCUUUUAUACGAGAAUAACGCGCCUUACGUGUAGGGCUUUGCAUGUACCGUAUGAACAAGGACCGGCUAAUUCCGUUCCAGCAGCCGCGGUAAUACGGAAGGUCCGGGCGUUAUCCGGCUUUAUUGGGUUUAAAGGGAGCGUAGGCCGCAUUGCAAGCUGUCUGUGCAAUGUCCGGGCUCAACCCGGGCCUUUCAGGGCGAACUGGCGUGCUUGAGUCCGCGGAAAGCAGGCGGAAUUCGUCGUGUAGCGGUGAAAUGCUUAGAUAUGACGAAGAACCCCGAUUGCGAAGGCAGCUUGCUGCAGCGGAACUGACGCUGAUGCUCGAAAGCGCGGGUAUCGAACAGGAUUAGAUACCCCAGUAGUC